rnacentral:tRNA from 1 species
GCAUAGAUAGCUCAGUACGUUAGAGCGCUGGUCUUGUAAACCGGAUGCCGGGAGUUAAAAUCUCCCUCAAUGCA